GUGAAUAACAAAAACAUUAGUCGCUAAAGCUCUAAAUGUUUUAGAUUUAUUUUCGCGCCUAUCUCACACAUUUGGCCUCUUUUUGUAUACACACAGCUACAGAACAUCUCUUGCCCUGUCAUUCCACAGUGCAAAUCACCAGCAAACCUCACGAUCUCGCAACCUCAGCAUCGUCGUUCCCCGUACGCCGCAAAUCACCACAGCCACCGCUACUAACAGAUGGCUUUGUUGCGUGGACUAGUGGAUAAUCCAUAUUGGUGUAUGGAGAAGAAUUUUCACCUUUGUAUAGAGCUAAUAUAAUACUUUUUUUGUCCUCAGCUUUUGUGUAGCUCACCAUUACUGAUACAAAAAACUUUUGCCAAUCAAUAGAUAAUGGCUACCGUGGUACAUAGAUCACCUUCUGUCGUGGUACAUAUAUGACCUUUUGUCAUGGUCUAUAGAAAAAAUUUUGUCGUGGUAUAUAGAUCAUCUUCUGUUGUGGUACAUAUAUAUGACCAUUUGUCGGCAUACACAUAUGACCUUUUGUCAUGGUCUAUAGAAAAACUUUUGUCGUGGUAUAUAGAUCAUCUUCGGUCGUGGUACAUAUAUAUGACCAUUUGUCGGCGUACAUAUACGACCUUUUGUCAUGGUCUAUAGAAAAACUUUUGUCGUGGUACAUAUAUCACCUUUUGUCGUGGUACAGAUUACAAUGGUAAUUUGUACCAUACCAAAUGGUAAUUUCGCUUGGUAGUAAAUAUAUUUUUUGUAUACGGAGGA